GUGCUCGCUUCAGCAGCACAUAUACUAAAAUUGGGACGAUACAGAGAUCAGCAUGGCCCCUGCGCAAGGAUGACGCGCAGAUUCGUGAAGCGGUCCAUAUUUUC
rnacentral:snRNA from 1 species